CCUCUGUCUCUCCUGCCUUCCCCACUGAAACUCCAGCCCACAUUCACAAACAAAGACAAACCUGUGUCAACUGAAGCACCACAAAACUACUUUUAUGAAAGCAGAAUGGAAUAAGAUACAGAAUAUAAAGAGACAGCAUAAAUGAUAGAAAACAAAAUAAGCAUGUUCAUGAGCCAGAAAUCAAGAAGAAAAGGCAAUGAUAAAAAGGGCUGAAGCCCGAGGCAUCCCAGGCCCUGGGUCUGGAAGCAGGCCUCCUUGGUAUAACCAUGCAUUUAUGGAAGAUGACGUUACCAGCAUCCCUGGGGUAAGUCUCAGUCAUCCGAAGCCAGUCUUGAUAAUCCCAGCAGACUAGCAAGGGAACACAACCUAGUUCUGUCAAGUGGAAAGUGAAGAGAGCUGUGCUGGGAGGCUUCUCAGAAAAGGUUUCUUUUGGCAAAAGAAAGAGAGGGAGGAACAGUUCUUUUCCUUCUGCCUGACAAGGUCAUGUGUGUACGUAAGAACUGGAAGUUCUCAUGCCCAC
rnacentral:lncRNA from 1 species